CAAUAGCGUAUAUUAAAGUUGUUGCAGUUAAAAAGCUCGUAGUUGGAUUUCGGGGCAGCCUGGCUGGUCCGCCGCAAGGCGAGUACUGGUCAGCCGCCCUUCCUCUCGAAAGCCCCGACUGCUCUUUAUUGCAGUGGUCGGGUAGUUCGGGACGUUUACUUUGAAAAAAGUAGAGUGUUCAAGGCAGGCCUACGCCUGAAUACAUUAGCAUGGAAUAAUGGAAGAGGACCUCGGUCCUAUUUUGUUGGUUUCCAGGACCGAAGUAAUGAUUAAGAGGGACAGUUGGGGGCAUUCGUAUUUAAUUGUCAGAGGUGAAAUUCUCGGAUUUAUGAAAGACGAACAACUGCGAAAGCAUUUGCCAAGGAUGUUUUCAUUAA
rnacentral:rRNA from 1 species